rnacentral:RNase_P_RNA from 1 species
UCGGUGUAGCAGGUAAUUGCUUUUUUAAAGAGGAAAGUCCGAGCUACAGAGACAAGAUUCCAUUUAACAAAUGGCUAGGGAGACCUAAGGGAAAGUGCAACAGAAAUAUACCGCCUUUAAGCAAUUUUUUAGAAAUUAUUAGAUUUUUAGAGAAUCUUGCGAUGUUAAGGUAAGGGUGAAAAGGCAGGGUAAGAGCCUACCGGUUUUUUGGCAACAAAAAAUGCUCUGUAAACCCAAUUUGUAGCAAGAAUAGCAGGUUAUCGUCUCAUUUAGCUAUUCGCUAGAAUGAUGUUGUGAAAUAUCAUCAAGAUAAAUAAUUACCUUAUAACAGAACUCGGCUUAUAGCUACACCGGAUUU